GACGAACGCUGGCGGCGUGCUUAACACAUGCAAGUCGAGCGGGAUCCAACCGGGUGGCAACACCGGGGAAGAUCUAGCGGCGAACGGGUGAGUAACACGUGAGCAACCUGCCCGAAGACUGGGAGUAACACCGGGAAACCGGUGCUAAUACCGGAUGUCGUCAUUAGGCCGCAUGACCUGAUGAUGAAAGGAUUCAUCGGCUUCGGGGAGGGGCUCGCGGGCUAUCAGCUUGNGGUUGGGGUAACGGCCUACCAAGGCGACGACGGCUAGCUGGUCUGAGAGGACGACCAGCCACACUGGGACUGAGACACGG
rnacentral:rRNA from 1 species